UACCUUUGCCGCCCACUCACCCCGUCAUGCCGCACCGUCGCCUCCCCAGGUUAGGCUACCCCCCCGGUGGGUCUCAGGUACAAGACCCGGGAAAUAUUCACCGCGACAUGCCGAUCCGCGAUUACAAGAUUCCGACUUCACGCAGUCGAGCUGCAGACUGCAUCCGGGACUACGAUCGGCGGGAUUACUCGGCGACCCCGUAGCGACUGACGUGCGAAGCCCUGCCAUGAGGACUGACGUCAUCCUCACUUCCUCCGGGCUUAUAAUGGCAGCUUAUUAGAGUAACUAAUGACAGGGUUGCACUGCCGGGAGACUUAACUCAACAUUUUCAUUUCGACACGGCUGACGAUAGCCAUAGUUUCACUCUGUGUUUACGUGUUUUCUGAUAUAAUUCCCAAAUUCCCUUUCGGGAUUCCAGACAUAUGGUGUCUUUGCCCGCGCCGCACACUAAUCCACAUCAUCCACUGCUUGUGUGUAAUCCCUGUCAUUUGAGUUUUAAUCUAGCAUCGUGGGCUUGCGCGGUCAACUUCAUGCGCUAUGCGCUAUUAUAAGGCCUGAUGGGCAGCCUGGGUCAUUAAAGUUGACACAUUUAGGCGUGGACUCACCAGGGUAUAGCCUCUCUCUGUGCACAGCCACCCAGAGGCUGCCUCGCCAUCGGGGUGCGGGCCCUCCGCAUACCUACGCAUUUUCACUAUUACGCGGCCCACCCCUCCGACACAUCAUAGUUAAAAAUGCAGUUCCAAAGUUACCUGAUGCUUACGCCCAGUAAUCUGAUUAACGUUUGCACUCAACGAAUAAACACAUAUCGUAUUACCGGUGCUUAUCCCGUAGGUACUGUCAGUUGCACGGGAUAAUACCUGGUGCAACUGACGGUACCUGCAGAAUAAGCACCGGCUAACUACGCCAGCAGCCGCGGUAAUGUUGUAGGUGCAAACGUUAAUCGGAAUUACUGGGCGUAAAGCGUGCGCAGGCGGUUCGGAAAGAAAGAUGAAAUCCCAGAGCUUAACUUUGGAACUGCAUUUUUAACUACCGAGCUAGAGUGUGUCAGAGGGAGGUGGAAUUCGCGUGUAGCAGUGAAAUGCGUAGACAUGCGGAGGAACACCGAUGGCGAAGGCAGCCUCCUGGGAUAACACUGAUUGCUCAUGCACGAAAGCGUGGGGAGCAAACAGGAUUAGAUACCCUGGUAGUCCACGCCCUAAACGAUGUCAACUAGCUACUGGGGCCUUCUGGCCUGGUAGCGCAGCUAACGCGUGAAGUUGACCGCCUGGGAGUACGGUCGCAAGAUUAAAACUCAAAGGAAUUGACGGGGACCCGCACAAGUUGCGGAUGAUGUGGAUUAAUCUGAUGCAACGCGAAAACCUUACCUACCCUUUGACAUGUCUGAAUCCCGAAGAGAUUUGGGAGUGCUCGCAAGAGAACCGGAACACAGGUGCUGCAUGGCUGUCGUCAGCUCGUGUCGUGAGAUGUUGGGUUAAGUCCCCGCAACGAGUGCAACCCUUGUCAUUAGUUGCUACGAAAGGGCACUCUAAUGAGACUGCCGGUGACAAACCGGAGGAAGGUGGGGAUGACGUCAAGUCCUCAUGGCCCUUGGCGGCAGGGCUUCACACGUCAUACAAUGGUCGGGACAGAGGGUCGCCAACCCGCGAGGGGGAGCCAAUCCCAGAAACCCGAUCGUAGUCCGGAUCGCAGUCUGCAACUCGACUGCGUGAAGUCGGAAUCGCUAGUAAUCGCGGAUCAGCAUGUCGCGGUGAAUACGUUCCCGGGUCUUUGUACACACCGCCCGUCACACCAUGGGAGUGGGUUUUACCAGAAGUAGUUAGCUCAACCGUAAGGAGUGGCGAUUACCACGGUAGGAUUCAUGACUGGGGUGAAGUCGUAACAAGGUAG
rnacentral:misc_RNA from 1 species